rnacentral:rRNA from 1 species
GACGAACGCUGGCGGCGUGCCUAAUACAUGCAAGUAGAACGCUGAAGGAGGAGCUUGCUCUUCUGGAUGAGUUGCGAACGGGUGAGUAACGCGUAGGUAACCUGCCUGGUAGCGGGGGAUAACUAUUGGAAACGAUAGCUAAUACCGCAUAACAGUAGAUGUUGCAUGACAUUUACUUAAAAGGUGCAAUUGCAUCACUACCAGAUGGACCUGCGUUGUAUUAGCUAGUUGGUGGGGUAACGGCUCACCAAGGCGACGAUACAUAGCCGACCUGAGAGGGUGAUCGGCCACACUGGGACUGAGACACGGCCCAGACUCCUACGGGAGGCAGCAGUAGGGAAUCUUCGGCAAUGGACGGAAGUCUGACCGAGCAACGCCGCGUGAGUGCAGAAGGUUUUCGGAUCGUAAAGCUCUGUUGUAAGAGAAGAACGAGUGUGAGAGUGGAAAGUUCACACUGUGACGGUAUCUUACCAGAAAGGGACGGCUAACUACGUG